AGGCCUAACACAUGCAAGUCGAGCGGUAGCACAGAGAGCUUGCUCUCGGGUGACGAGCGGCGGACGGGUGAGUAAUGUCUGGGAAACUGCCUGAUGGAGGGGGAUAACUACUGGAAACGGUAGCUAAUACCGCAUAACGUCGCAAGACCAAAGUGGGGGACCUUCGGGCCUCAUGCCAUCAGAUGUGCCCAGAUGGGAUUAGCUGGUAGGUGGGGUAACGGCUCACCUAGGCGACGAUCCCUAGCUGGUCUGAGAGGAUGACCAGCCACACUGGAACUGAGACACGGUC
rnacentral:rRNA from 1 species